rnacentral:rRNA from 1 species
UACGAAGGGGGCAAGCGUUGUUCAGAAUUAUUGGGCGUAAAGAGCGUGUAGGCGGCCAGGUAGGUCUGGUGUGAAAACUCGAGGCUUAACCUCGAGAUGUCAUCGGAAACCAUCUGGCUAGAGUCCGGAAGAGGAGAGUGGAAUUCCUGGUGUAGCGGUGAAAUGCGCAGAUAUCAGGAAGAACACCAAUGGCGAAAGCAGCUCUCUGGGACGGUACUGACGCUGAGACGCGAAAGCGUGGGGAGCGAACAGG